GGUGGGGUGACCGAGUGGCUAAUGGUAGCAGACUGUAAAUCUGCCGGGCUCACGCCCUACGUAGGUUCGAAUCCUACCCCCACCA
rnacentral:tRNA from 1 species